ACGGUCUGGCGCGAGUGUCUGUGACGCCAUCUCGGCGCGACUCUUCAUUUUCUUGGCGUUUUCUGGCUGCUCUGCCGGAGCUAUGCCGAAAGUCGUGUCGCGGUCGGUGGCCUGCUCAGACACCCGGGACCGCGAGGAAUAUGAUGAUGGCGAGAAGCCCCUCCAUGUCUACUACUGUUUAUGUGGCCAGAUGGUCCUGGUGCUGGAUUGCCAGUUAGAGAAAUUGCCCAUGAGGCCCCGGGACCGGUCUCGCGUGAUCGAUGCUGCCAAACAUGCUCACAAGUUUUGUAACACAGAAGACGAGGAGACUACUUAUCUUCGGAGGCCUGAGGGCAUUGAACGUCAGUACAGGAAGAAGUGUGCAAAGUGUGGACUGCCNCUCUUCUACCAAUCCCAGCCGAAGAAUGNUCCUGUGACCUUCAUUNUGGAUGGAGCAGUAGUGAAAUUUGGCCAAGGCUUUGGGAAAACCAAUAUAUAUACUCAGAAACAAGAGCCUCCUAAGAAGGUUAUGAUGACCAAAAGGACUAAAGACAUGGGCAAGUUCAGCUCUGUUACUGUGUCUACCAUUGAUGAAGAAGAAGAGGAGAUAGAGGCUAGGGAAGUUGCUGACUCUUACNNGCAGAAUGCCAAAGUGAUUGAAAAGCAGCUGGAGCGCAAAGGCAUGAGCAAGAGGAGGCUGCAGGAGUUGGCUGAAUUGGAAGCCAAGAAAGCAAAAAUGAAGGGGACCCUGAUCGACAAUCNGUUCAAAUAAUCAAGAUCUUUCUGGGUUCAGACUGGAGGCAGCAGAUAG